AGCUUAGGGACUGUUCCAAGGUGACAUCAUUUUAACAAACGAACAAUAGGUCAAAUUUAUUAGCCAGGAUAAUGGGCGGCGGAUAUUAGCGCCCGAACCGCAGCCUCCCAAACCCGAAAUCUAACGAAGCUGCAAUUAGCAGACGCUCCCAGCUCCUUCAGGCCGGGGCCUUUUCCCCGCCGCCGCGCGGGGCGGGCAGGCGCUCUGCUGGUGAAAUUAUCGUUUGCCGAGGGGGUUUUCGUUUUCUUCCAAAUUUUUUUCAUCUGAGCAAAACCCAAACCAUAAGAAUCCUUUCAAUUACAGCGGAGUUGUGACCUCGGAAAGGCCCUGCGGAAUCCGUGGCAGCGUCCUCGACACCCCACAGCUGCCGGAGCAACGAAAGGGGCGCACCGCGGGGCGCAAGCUCCGCGCUCCCUGCGCGCGGGGUGAGGACAGCAUCGGAGCAUGCCCCGCGCUCCCGAGGACACCGACCCGCGUGGGGAGAAUUCACCCCCGCCCGAGCUUCGGCCCCGGCGUUGCAACCACUUUGGAGACGCUCCCUGGCUCCCGCCAGGCAGACCAAGGCGUGACUCACAGGUGCCCACGCGUGCCAGGCCCGGCUGAACUAGGGACCUGGGGUCGCCCAGUGGGGAGCGGGAUCUGGUCCCUCGAAGUUCGUUGCAAGAUGGACGGGACUGUGGUCGCGCAGGGAGACCCGCCCGUGGCGCGGCAGGUGUGGGGACCUGGGGUUCCCCAGGGGCAAGGAUGGGGGCGGCUCUUAUUUAGAGCAAAGAGCGAAAUUUCUUUGGGUAACCCUGGGUGCUGGGACUACUCGAUGCUCUGCCCGAGCCCUUGGAGACUGUGCGGGCUGGCCGAAGAGCGCUGGUGACAGGACCGCACGCGGGGCGGUCACCCCCGCGUUCAGCUUCAGCUGUCACCCCAGGGGAGGCUUACAAAAUCUUUUUCUACCUGCUAAUUUAAAAAUCGUUAGGUGCAAACGGCCUCGGUGGCCGAGCCUGUUCCUCGCGCUCCCGGUUUUGCCAUCGUGCUGAGGGUUCCGAAUGGUGUUCCCAUUUGGGCCAGGUCACAUCCCAGCUUGAGUGAUCUUGAGCAAGCGACUUGAAAUCUUUAGGCUUUGGUUUCCUUGUUUGUAAAACGGGAGUGUGUGGCUUGUGGGGUGGCUGUGGACUGUGAGUGAGAUGUUGGGAGGCGGGUAAGGCCUGGUGCAUAGUAGGGACCCAGAGGAUGUGGCGGCCCUCCCAGGCCCUCCUCCCAGCGUGACAGUUGAUGUAUUAUUCUUAUGAUUACUGUUUAUUUGUUUGCAGUUUUAUUUUAUUUGCAGAGUCUCGGUGUCUUUGAGAGAAAGGCACAUAUUUGUCUCCAUUGGGGUCAGUCCCAGGGGGCCGGGAAGGGCAGGAGGCGGCAGGUGGGGGAUUCUUCCUGGUAAUCUACCCCCAAGGAAGAGGGGCCUCAGGAUUUAAAAUCUUAAGGCCCGGGUCCCUGAGUCAGGUCACCAUCCCCUCCGUGACCUUGGGCAAGUCUCUGGCCCUGGCAGAACCUCAGUGUUGGGUGGGGAGAAAGAGGCAGCUGAGCAGUGAGGGGGGAGGAGAGCAGGGUUCCUGGGCCCUGGGCAAGCCCUCCUCCGCCGGCCAGGACCUUCAGUGGAGUCUGGCCAUUGCUCCCAGCUCUGGGAGGCUCCUGCUUCUAAUUCAGGCUCGGCUACCAUUGGUCUAGGGGUUUUGGGGGUACCCUGUUGCCUCUCCUGGACCCUCAUUUUCCUUGUUUGUAAAACAGAAGGGAUGAUCGCUAGCCCCUGGGUGGCUGUGAGAAGUGAAUGAGAGAAAUUCUUUGGCAUUGCCUGUGAAAAACUCUGGUGGUUAUAUAAUAAUAACCUGAAGGACAACAGUAGGGCAACUGUGGGUUGAGAACUUAGCAAGUGCCAGGUGUAUUCCUCACGACAACCCCAUGUGGAAAGGGCUAUCAUCAACCCCAUUUUGUACCUGAUGAGGGAUCUGAGUCUCUGCGGCUCAAGCCGAAUCAGAGGCUGGGGAGGGCUUUCCACCAGAGCUCCACUUCCUUCCUGGCUUCAGAGCUCUGGAUUCCAGGCCUGUCUUUGCUGCUUCCCGGCUCUGUUAAAUUAGAUAACAAGGCCCACCUGCACAGGUACGUGGGCACCGAGUUAGGGAGAAGGUGUGGUUUGUGGCCCGUGGCGUGGUGAAUAGCCCAGUGCUUGAGUUGGAUUCCCAUCUCAGUUUAUCUGCUGUGAACUUAGGGAAUCCUCUUUGUGCCUCAGUUUCCUCCCCUGGUAAAGCAUCAGUGCCAGCGUCAGGGGAUGGAGUGAGCAACGCCAGGACCAAUCUUUACCCUGCUCACCAGCUCUCGUUGGCAGAGUCUGACUCAUUCAUUGCUUGAUCUGUGAUUUCUCUACUAAAUUUGACUUCGUUUCAACACUUUUGUUGGGCAAAUUACAUUAAGAUGGAUGUUGCAGGUUUCACCGGAGAAACCUGCAGCCAAACUCAAGCUCUCUGGCAGAGAAAGGCCACAGAGCGCAUUUCAGUUGGCGGCUUUAAGCGCGGCUCCUGAAGACCCCUGCCUCCACCCUGCAGAAUCCCUUCUCUUGGGUGUGGGCUGGUCCUGGUGAUGUCUGUCAGGUGAAGAGGAUGCAGUGGAGGCGAGGGGCGCCCCUUCUCAGGCUCGGUCCGGAAGCCGUGACCCCCAGACUGCUGCGCCCUCCGGCUCUUCUGUCUCGCCUGCUCUGAUAAAGCAAGAUGCCACGUAGCGAGCUGCCGUACAGUGGGGCCACCAGCAAGGUGCUGAGGCUCAGUCCACCAGUUGGGAGGAGCGGACUCCUGCCCAGGGCCACGAGUGUCCGUGGAAGCAGACCCCUCCCUGCCAGUCUUGGCCUGGCCCACAACGCCGGCGGCAGCCUGGGAGACUGGAGGCGGAGCACCCGCGGGAACUGUGAGAUAAUAAGCAGUGUAGUUCUAAGCUGCAUUUUGGGGUGAUGUGUUAUACGGUGACAGAGGUCUGAAAAUACACAUGGACACAGGUAUAAACACAAACUGGUUUCAGCUCGGCAUUGUCAGACAUGGGCCUGAGAAGAGAGUAGGAACUCCUUUGAGGUGACACAGACCUGGCUCAGGUCCUGCUGUGUGACCUGUGUAAGCUGUGUACCGCCUCUGAGCUUUAGUUUCCUCAUCCGAAAAGUGGGAGGAGUGCCGUCCACCUCCAGGGGCUGUCGAGAGGACGUGUGGGGUGAGCCCGGCAGAUGUUCCGUGGCUUUGCUGAGGCUGUUCCGUGGCGUUGCUGAGACCAUGCUGCCUGGUUGUAAAUCCAGAAGCGGGGGUGGGGGUGGGGGCCCACCACGUCCUCCCCCCAGCAGCUCUCCAAGGCCAAGACGGAGCCUUCCCUGGGCAAGUGCACCUGGUGAGUUCUGGGGGGCAUUUCAAUGCAAAUGCUAUGGUGCUUUCAGGUCUUGGACCUUGUGAAGAAAACAGUGCCAGAAGGGGAUAGGUCUUACCUGAAGAGUUUUUAGGGAUGAAUGGUGUGUCAUAAUAAGCCCUUGAGAAAGAGAAGAUUCUCAAGUCAGACUUCUCUAGACUGUCAAAGGUUUAUGAAGUUCAGAAUUUGCCAUCGCAAGGAAAAUUGUAAACCCCACUGCUAAUGAAAUAUAGUGUAAGGUCCAGGCUUACUUCUCCAUUAGAUACCAGAAGGAACCUUACACAGAACACACUUUUCCCAGAUUUCCUGGAUCAUACAUGGAAGAUAGACGUUUUGAGGCAAACUUGGUGACUUUGCUUUUAUGUGACAAGCCUGUCGUUACACUCAAUUAUCAAAAAAGCUUUCAAGAAACUCAAGUCUGAUAAACGAAAUUAAAACAAGAUGCUGUGGAUUUGCUUCUUCUUCAACAGUAAGGCCAGAUCUUUCAUGUCUUACCAGAAAUAAAGGGAACAGUAUUUAUUAUCCGCCUGAACCAUGAGAUCAGAGCAGUGAGAUACCAAAGCCAUUUGACAGAGGCACUCUCAAAUUAAUAGUCUAGUUACGGCCUAUCACAAACUGUAAGGCCUCCUCCUUGUCCUGGGUUUGGGGUGAGCUGCAAUCCCCAUAGUACUAAGAGCUGUGGAAGGAUGAAAGCCAGCUGAUCCUCUCCCUUUGGAAACCUGUGCUUUGGCACCUAGAACUGUUUUGGGUGGCCCAAGAAGGCAGAGCUGCUUCAGAUUUGUAUUUUUAAUUAUUCACCUUCAGCUUUUCGAAAAAAUUAAAUGAAGGCAGAAGGACUGGGUGCUAGCAGCACCCAGAGCUACUUGCUGGGGCUACCUACUCCUUCUGAAGAAAUAUCUCUGCAGGCAGUAAUUGCACAGCUUAAUUCUUCUAGACUAAACCACUUCAGAUUUAUGCCAGUGAAAAGCAAACGUUGUUUGUAAGUCAUUUAAUUGUGUUACUGUCUCUCAACUUUAUCAGAUGCUGCUGAGGCAGAGAGGGCCGUGUGCAGUCCUGCGGGAUGCUGUGGAGAGCUCCCAGGCUCGUGCUAAAUGCCCACAGCUCAGAGUCCCCAGUGCUGCUUCUUCCAAGACUCAAAACCACCUACUAACUUAACAGGUUCAAAUGGAUGGGUCUCAAUCCA